AUGAACGCUAGCUACAGGCUUAACACAUGCAAGUCGAGGGGCAGCAUUUCAGUUUGCUUGCAAACUGGAGAUGGCGACCGGCGCACGGGUGAGUAACACGUAUCCAACCUGCCGAUAACUCGGGGAUAGCCUUUCGAAAGAAAGAUUAAUACCCGAUGGUAUAAUCAGACCGCAUGGUCUUGUUAUUAAAGAAUUUCGGUUAUCGAUGGGGAUGCGUUCCAUUAGGCAGUUGGUGAGGUAACGGCUCACCAAACCUUCGAUGGAUAGGGGUUCUGAGAGGAAGGUCCCCCACAUUGGAACUGAGACACGGUCCAAACUCCUACGGGAGGCAGCAGUGAGGAAUAUUGGUCAAUGGGCGCAGGCCUGAACCAGCCAAGUAGCGUGAAGGAUGACUGCCCUAUGGGUUGUAAACUUCUUUUAUAUGGGAAUAAAGUUUUCCACGUGUGGAAUUUUGUAUGUACCAUAUGAAUAAGGAUCGGCUAACUCCGUGCCAGCAGCCGCGGUAAUACGGAGGAUCCGAGCGUUAUCCGGAUUUAUUGGGUUUAAAGGGAGCGUAGGUGGACAGUUAAGUCAGUUGUGAAAGUUUGCGGCUCAACCGUAAAAUUGCAGUUGAUACUGGCUGUCUUGAGUACAGUAGAGGUGGGCGGAAUUCGUGGUGUAGCGGUGAAAUGCUUAGAUAUCACGAAGAACUCCGAUUGCGAAGGCAGCUCACUGGACUGCAACUGACACUGAUGCUCGAAAGUGUGGGUAUCAAACAGGAUUAGAUACCCUGGUAGUCCACACAGUAAACGAUGAAUACUCGCUGUUUGCGAUAUACAGUAAGCGGCCAAGCGAAAGCAUUAAGUAUUCCACCUGGGGAGUACGCCGGCAACGGUGAAACUCAAAGGAAUUGACGGGGGCCCGCACAAGCGGAGGAACAUGUGGUUUAAUUCGAUGAUACGCGAGGAACCUUACCCGGGCUUAAAUUGCAUUUGAAUAUAUUGGAAACAGUAUAGCCGUAAGGCAAAUGUGAAGGUGCUGCAUGGUUGUCGUCAGCUCGUGUCGUGAGAUGUUGGGUUAAGUCCCGCAACGAGCGCAACCCUUAUUGCCAGUUACUACGCAAGAGGACUCUGGCAGGACUGCCGUUGACAAAACGGAGGAAGGUGGGGAUGACGUCAAAUCAUCAUGCCCCUUAUGACCUGGGCUACACACGUGCUACAAUGGGAAGUACAACGAGUCGCUAGACCGCGAGGUCAUGCAAAUCUCUUAAAGCUUCUCUCAGUUCGGAUUGCAGGCUGCAACUCGCCUGCACGAAGUCGGAAUUGCUAGUAAUCGCGGAUCAGCAUGCCGCGGUGAAUACGUUCCCGGGCCUUGUACACACCGCCCGUCACACCAUGGGAGUGGGUUGCAAAAGAAGUAGGUAGCUUAACCUUCGGGAGGGCGCUUACCACUUUGUGAUUCAUGACUGGGGUG
rnacentral:rRNA from 1 species